rnacentral:lncRNA from 1 species
GAUGAUAUUCUUGUUCCAGACUCCUGUUCCUGCUGAUGUUUGUCAUAGUGCUUAUUUCAAUUGGAAUGUGGAGAAACAUCAAUGUCCUGCUACAUUACUGCCAAGGCAAGGGUGAAAAAUGGGCAGAAGAUUCUUGUCCCCUUCCUCUCUUCUUGUAUCAGCAGGAAGUAUGGACAUGUUCAAAGAAUGACGGUAGCAUAUCAAAUGAACAAAGAGGACUUUAGAAGGGACUUCUGCUGAGAAAUUUGGGAACAAUUUGAGCAUCAAUCUUAAGAAAGCUCCUACAAUUACCACAUACUAUGGGAGGAACCCAGUGGGAAAUGAUUGAAUUACGAGGGCAGGUCUUUCCUGCACUGCUCUUAUGAUACUGAAUGAGACUCACAAGAUCUGAUGGUUGUAAAAACGGAAGUUUUCCUGCCCAAUCUCACUCUUCGCCUACUGCCAUCCAUGUAAGAUACGAUUUGCUCCUCCUUGUCUUCUCCCAUGGUUGUGAGGCUUCCCCAGCCACGUGGAACUGUAAGUCCAAUUAAACCUCUUUCAUUUGUAAAUUGCCCAGUCCUGGGUACGUCUUUAUCAGGAGCAUGAAAAUGGACUAACACAACAAAAUAUUAUUUUAUAUGUAUAUCUGUUCUACUUUGUUUAAUAAAUUAUAAAUUCAACUAGUUUAAACGCAAAACUGUUUAUUGAAAACAAUUCAUGAUGGGUAUUUGUGCUUAACUGGCAUAUGGACACUUGGAG